CGUAUCUUCGUACCAUCUAAUUACUACUGUGACAGAGAUUUAUUGUCCAUCAGGAUGCCUCACUACAAAUCUGACUGUAUGGGGAACAGAUAUCUACACAGAGAAUUCCUCCAUAUGUCUGGCAGCUAUCCAUGCUGGUCUUAUUACAAAUGGGGGAGGAUAUGUGACCGUGGAGAAAGUGGCUGGACAAUCGAACUAUACA